AUUAAGGUAGCACUACAGUCUAACGAUGAUUUUUUGAAGAUCUUUUUUUUAUCACAUAAUUUUGAAGUAAGAACUAUUCUGCACAGUUUAUAAAAAUCCCAGAGUCAUUAUCAUAUCACAGCAGGGAGUAAAUUGAUAAUGAACUUAUGUAAAUAAAAGCACAUGGUAAUUAAUCUAAAUAUAUAGGCAUUUGGGAGGGGC
rnacentral:lncRNA from 1 species